rnacentral:rRNA from 1 species
UACGUAGGGUCCGAGCGUUGUCCGGAAUUACUGGGCGUAAAGGGCUCGUAGGCGGCCAACUAAGUCGGACGUGAAAUCCCUCAGCUUAACUGGGGAACUGCGUCCGAUACUGGAUGGCUUGGAUUUGGGAGAGGGAUGCGGAAUUCCAGGUGUAGCGGUGAAAUGCGUAGAUAUCAUUUGGAACGCCAAUGGUGAAAACAGCUCGCUGGGGGUUUGCUGACGCUGAGACACGAAAGCCAGGGGAGCAAACGGG